UCCUUUGGACGUCGAUCCGCAUUUGACCUUACUCCGUAUUGCUGUAAAACUGAUUUAUGUAACGAUCAUGAACCUCUGCCACCUACUACAGUGAUGCCUACUAUACCGCCAAAUCCAUAUUGUCCAAGAGGAUUCCAAUAUGUCAGUGGGUCGUGUUAUUUGGUGAACUUAACCAAAAUGACAUGGUCAAAAGCACAGGACUUUUGCAAAAGUCAUGGUGCACACUUAGCUGAUUUCACUACAAAAUAUGAGAUGGGACCUGUAAUACAAAAAGCAGUAGUACCUCUGUCAUCUCGUUUCCAAUUCUUUGAUCCGCAUUGUUGGAUAGAUGCUGUAUAUUCUGACAGCCACCACCACUGGAUUUGGUCGCACAGUUCUGCCUUAGUUGAUUAUCGUUCUUUUACCCAACUAGCACAUAGUACUGGUAAAACUUCAAAGUGUGCAUUUGCUACCUAUGCUGCGGGUAUUACUCCGUUGAUAUUUGAAAUCGAUGUUGACUGCAGUCGAAGUUACAUUCCGUUAUGUGAGGUUAAUCCGUUUUAAUAACAUUAAAUAAUCGUCGUAAUGAUAAUUGCGAGAAUAUUAAGAAUGAUUUGUCCCUUUCUUUUUUCUUUAGUUCUUAACCAAAUUGGUUUUUUUUUAACAUGUGGAUUAGUGUGUAUCAACAAGUGUCGUAUUUGGCGAAACUUUUAGGAGUUUUUGGUUCUCAAUGCUCUUCAACUUCGUUCUUAAUGUGGCCUUUUUAACUUUUUUUAUUCGAGCGUCACUGAUGAGACUGGCGCAAACACAAAAUUUUAAUCCUCGUAUCUCAAUGUAUCUAUGGUGAGUUUAUUAAAUCGAACAUUUUUCACUUUCCUUAAAUUUCGCUAUAGUGACGAAUAAGGUGAUCAGACACACAACAAACAAGAUGACAAAAACAAAAAGAAUACAUUUUGCUAACAAAAUAAUAGAGAAAUAAUGUAUUAA